rnacentral:misc_RNA from 1 species
GAAAUGCGAUAAGUAAUGUGAAUUGCAGAAUUCAGUGAAUCAUCGAAUCUUUGAACGCAUCUUGCGCGCCUUGGUAUUCCUUGGAGCAUGCCUGUUUGAGUAUCAUGAAAUCUUCAAAGUAAAUCUUUUGUUAACUCAAUUGGUUUCUACUUUGGUAUUGGAGGUCUUUGCAGCUUCACACCUGCUCCUCUUUGUUCAUUAGCUGGAUCUCAGUGUUAUGCUUGGUUCCACUCGGCGUGAUAAGUUAUCUAUCGCUGAGGACACUGUAAAAGGUGGCCAAGGUAAAUGCAGAUGAACCGCUUCUAAUAGUCCAUUGACUUGGACAAUACUUUUAUGAUCUGAUCUCAAAUCAGGUAGGACUACCCGCUGAACUUAAGC